rnacentral:lncRNA from 1 species
GCGGGCGCUGCGGCUCCGAGGGUGACAGGGACUGGAACGACCUCUCUCGGGCCGACAGGAACGGGGACUGGAACGACCGCUACAGGGCCGACAGGAACGGGGCCUGGGGCGACCUCUACUUGGCCGACGGGAACGGAACCAGAGACAGGAACGCCCUCAACUUGGCCGACGGGAACGGAACCAGAGACAGGAACGCCCUCAACUUGGCCGACGGGAACGCCCUCAACUUGGCCGACAGGGACAGGAACUGGAACGACCUCAACUUGGCCGACAGGGACAGGAACUGGAACGACCUCAACUUGGCCGACAGGGACAGGAACUGGAACGACCUCAACUUGGCCGACAGGGACAGGAACUGGAACGACCUCAACUUGGCCGACAGGGACAGGAACUGGAACGACCUCAACUUGGCCGACAGGGACAGGAACUGGAACGACCUCAACUUGGCCGACAGGGACAGGAACUGGAACGACCUCAACUUGGCCGACAGGGACAGGAACUGGAACGACCUCAACUUGGCCGACAGGGACAGGAACUGGAACGACCUCAACUUGGCCGACAGGGACAGGAACUGGAACAACCUCAACUUGGCCGACAGGGACAGGAACGACCUCAACUUGGCCGACAGGGACAGGAACUGGAACGACCUCAACUUGGCCGACAGGGACAGGAACGGGAACGACCUCAACUUGGCCGACAGGGACAGGAACUGGAACGACCUCAACAUGGCCGACAGGGACAGGAACUGGAACGACCUCAACAUGGCCGACAGGGACGGGAACGACCUCUACUUGGCCGACAGGAACAGGAACGACCUCUACUUGGUCGACAGGAACAGGAACGACCUCUACUUGGUCGACAGGAACAGGAACAGGGACAGGAACGGCCUCAACAUGGCCGACAGGAACAAGAACGACCCCUAACGGGCCGACAGGGACUGGAACGGCCGCAACAUGGCCGACAGGGACUGGAACGGCCGCAACAUGGCCGACAGGGACUGGAACGGCCGCAACAUGGCCGACGGGAACUGGGACGGCGUCCUUACUAGCGCCGACGGGAACAAGAAC